AUGGGGGCGAACACAAAAAAAAGGGUCUUGAUCUUAUGAACAAAAAGAAGAAACGGGCAGAGUUAGGAGGAGGCGAGCAAGAAAAUUGGGGAUCUAAGAAAAAGAGGAAAAUCCCAACAAUUCUUUCCUCUUCACUACAACAUCAGCACGUUCCCCUCCCAAAUCCUCUUCUCCCACCUUAAACCCACUUGAAAAUCAACAAAACCAGACCAUCGGCUAUACAAACCAGCAUUUACGGUUCCGAGAUCCACUGUUCAUCCUCCCUAAAACCAGCACUCGCAUCGAAAUGCAAGGUGAUUCAAAUCCCAGCUAGUUUCGGUCUUAGUUGUUUGAAAAAGAGGGGUUUGAGUUGAGGAUGACGAUGGUGUAGUUGAGUUCCGACGAGAUUUUGAGGUUUCAUGGAAGUUCUCAGUUGGUCGUGACUAAGGAAAGUGUAAACCCAAGUUCAUUUUUGAAAAGGCUUCUAAAGGUGUGGAUCUACUUACUGGAGUUUGAGCAUGACAGACACCCCGUGACCAUCCAGUCAGAAUCGCUCAUUCAAGAGUUGAUUAAGGAGAUUUGCUUUAUUUUUUAUGUUUUGAGUCUAUUCUUCAUUUUAUGUCGUCUUUUAUUUUCUAGUUUUGUACAGUAAUGUCGAGUCUUUUGUUAUUGUAGUUUCUACUUUAUAUUUAAAAAAGUGUGCUGUAACUCAAAAAUCCAAAAAAAGGAGGUUUCGCAUUUUACAUUUC